GUGGGGAAUCUUCCGCAAUGGACGAAAGUCUGACGGAGCGACGCCGCGUGAGUGAAGAAGGCCUUCGGGUCGUAAAGCUCUGUCAUCAGGGACGAACGGCCGGUGGAGUGGAAAGCCACCGGAUUGACGGUACCUGAGAAGGAAGCCACGGCUAACUACGUGCCAGCAGCCGCGGUAAUACGUAGGUGGCAAGCGUUGUCCGGAAUUAUUGGGCGUAAAGCGCGCGCAGGUGGGAUCUUAAGUCCAUUUUUAAAGUUCGGAGCUCAACUCCGUGAUGGGAUGGAAACUGGGAUUCUUGAGUACCGGAGAGGAAAGCGGAAUUCCCCGUGUAGCGGUGAAAUGCGUAGAUAUGGGGAGGAACACCAGUGGCGAAGGCGGCUUUCUGGACGGUGUCUGACACUGAGGCGCGAAAGCCAGGGGAGCGAACGGGAUUAGAUACCCCGGUAGUCC
rnacentral:rRNA from 1 species